rnacentral:rRNA from 1 species
AUUGAACGCUGGCGGCAGGCCUAACACAUGCAAGUCGAGCGGCGCGCCGGCCGGGUGAGUAAUACCUAGGAAUCUGCCUGGUAGUGGGGGAUAACGUUCGGAAACGGACACUAAUGCCGCAUCCUCUCAGCUGAGCCUCGGUCGGAUUAGCUAGUUGGUGAGGUAAUGGCUCACCAAGGCUACGAUCCGUAACUGGUCUGAGAGGAUGAUCAGCCACACUGGAACUGAGACACGGUCCAGACUCCUACGGGAGGCAGCAGUGGGGAAUAUUGCACAAUGGGCGAAAGCCUGAUCCAGCCAUGCCGCGUGUGUGAAGAAGGUCUUCGGAUUGUAAAGCACUUUAAGUUGGGAGGCGUUACCGACAGAAUAAGCACCGGCUAACUCUGUGCCAGCAGCCGCGGUAAUAC